UGCAUUUGCUGCCUUCUCUGUGUUACUUGGACUAUUUUUUUUGUUGUUCAGGCUUGUUUACUUGCCUUCCCAGCUUCUUUUUAAUGACUCUUGUUCCCUUUUUGUGUUUGGAAAUAAGCGACAACAGCUGUCCGCGAACCUACAGGGCAUCAGACGCUUGCAGUGCUGGUGUAACUAACCUCCCGAGUUGCUCUGCUGAGUGGAGGACAGAGAGUCCACGGUGGAGGAUGUUUCAGAGGAAGAUCUCCUCAGGUACAUCUUCAAAGAGAACACGGAGGAAGAGGGGUUGUCACUCUCUCUUGGCCGCUGGGCGCCUGUGUCUCUACUGGACUCCCCAGGCUCGGUUCCUGAAGAAGCAUCUAAGCUGCCAUGAGCGGUCUACAGAACGUGCCUGCCGGGGAUGAGAUUCAGAUGAGGAGCCCAGGAGCGACGCCCACAAUCCCUAACUGCCCAAAGCCACAUCCUGUCCAAAAGGAAAAGACUUGCACUUUCUCCUCAGGAGGAACACAGGCAUUAAUGUGAUCUCAAUUACCCAUAAAGCUGUCGUGCAGCAGCACUCACACCUCGCAGCCUCAUUCAGCACCGGUCACAUCCUGCCGUACACAUGCGCUUUAACUUUAGCUUAUCUGAUGGCUGCCUUGGAAAGUUUUGAGGCCUCCAGAGCAGGAAGCAAACAAAACUCCUGAUGUGCCGUCACGCCAAACCAAUUUUUCAACGCUGAGUAGCCUCAGUGGAGUUUAUGAGUUCAUUUCUGAGACUGACAAAUAUGAGGGGGGAUGAAAAGGCAUUAAGAAUAAGCAGAGCAACCUUAGCCCUUCCAGGCGCACACUCAGAGGCCAGAGAGUAACAGGUAAACUCGGGGGAGGGUGGUUAAGCCCUAGUUAGGCAUGUAAAUCCCACCCUUUACAGGCAAAGCGCUCCAGUAGAUCCCUGUCAAUUUCCUGCAGCUGUGCUUGGGCGGAUUUACAUGAAUACACUCUAUCACUAGCGCUUAGCCUCCUGUGUUAUGCAUUUACUCACUUUUGGGUGGGUUCUAAAAUUGGUUAUUUUCUGUUUUACUUUUUUGUCUUCUGUAGAGAAAGAACGGUUUUAUUUACAAGCCACCCAGCAUAGCUUCUUUUGUAAAUUGACUCCUCAGUUUUGUCCACGAGCCAGGCACAAGAAGGUUAGCUGGCUGUUUCCUGAUAAGCUGGCAGAACCUAUCAACCCCGGCAAGAAGAUAGUGCUCUGUAUUUCUGUCAUGCUUUAUCAUCAGCUGGGGUGAAACUAAACCGGUGUUAAGCGAGAGUAGAGGGACCAUUUCCCUGGAUUACAGGCGUCAACUUUAAUUUCAAAGACCAAUGGUGUAUCCAGGGAAGGUGCAGGCUUCGUUUGCCACAGAUUGGCAGCAGGCUCCUGAUAAGGACCCAGUGGCGUUGUUCGCAUUCACCACGGGUGCCUAUUGAUCUCCGAGCCGCUGGUUCAUUUCAUAAAAUACAAGGCAAAUGGUGUUAGAGCGGCAGUAUGGCUCCCUAUUCACCAGACACGCUGCGUCCUGUGCCAAGCUGUCUCAGCUCUGUGCUGUGGCGAACAGGAAACGCACCGCAGGAAGACAGAGUAUUUGUCAGUAGUCAUUAAGGAAGGAGGUGACAGUUCAAGCUUUUUGCUCAUGGAAUACAGCACAAUGAGCUUCAGAGGAAAGAUGCUUUUUCUUUACAACAAAAGCUGAGUGAGGUUACAAACGAAGUUUUAUUCAGAGAAUUCUUCCAGCUCAGCUUGCGAGGCUCUCAGUGGUCAGACUGUACCUGAGCUGAAAGCAGAGCUAUCAUUUGGAGUAUCAGUGAGAUGAUCGCCAUCUGAGAGUAAAAUUCAUAUCAACAUAUUGAGCACUUAUUCAGAUUGAAAUGUCUCCCUCCUUCUCUCUUUUUUCCAAACUAAAUUUAUGAAAAGCAUAAUCACAACAUGAGGGCCCUCUUAUUUUAUUAUCAGUGGGUGUUAUUAUUAGAAAACCAUUUCAAAUGAUAUGUCACAUGGGAACAAAUAUCAUUUACAAACCACUAAUGACUUGCAAACACUCCUCUAGCCUCCGGUGCACAAUGACGCUGUCUCACAGUGUGUGCUCUGUUCGUCUCUCCACGGAGACGUGCGGUGGGACACUGCACGCCUUCAGAAUCAAACAGAAUAAAUAGGAAGACUUCUUUCUUUCAGCACAGGCCAUACAGUGGCAAUAACAUUAAUUCUUAAAAAAAAUCAGCCAUUUAAACCUGUCAUUACCAUGGCUGCCUAAUGGUUUUAAGGUGUGUGUUUGUUGCAAAAAUUCAAAUGAGACACUAAAAUAUGUACAUAUUCUCUGCAGAGAUGGAUUAGGUUUUGGAUAUUAAUAAUUAAGCAGGCAUUAUUAUUAUUACACUUUGCAUCUUCUGGGUGGAUCAAACUCACCUCACUGCUGGACUGCUAAUAAUGAGUCAUCAAUAAAACAUUCUCAUAAUGUCAGAAAGACACUUGUGUAGACGCACGGUCUAAUUUUACACGGGCUGACUUGGUCAUUAGUUCACUAUGGCGUGAAUGCUCCGCCAUGCAAAACACAGAGGAGGUUACAGAGGUGGCCUGAUGUGGCCUGACAGUUGGUGCAUCAAGCCGCUCCUUCAUUAAUGUUAAUCGUCUUGAAAUUGUGAAUAACCAAAUCACUGCACCUAUAUGCAAAUAUUUAAAGCAUUUUACUUUUUAAUGGAAAAUGUGUUUUUGUUUCUGGCACUGUCAUUUGCAUAGUAAUAGUGUCUAUUGUAUUGUGUUUCUCAAGCCUCAAACUGGCCUUGGUGAGCACUGGAUAGUCGACUAUGCUUUGAUCGGAGCUUUAAAUGAACAGAUGAAGGCUGCAGCACGCACGGAGAAAAGUCAUAUGUAAACUCUGAGUUAAAGUUUCCCUCUUCAGAUCAGAAAUUAUGGAGGCUGUUGGCUUGAAACCUUCCAAAAUUUCGCAGAGUUGUAAUGAGAAACUAAGAAAAGCACAGACCAGAGGGGGAGAGCUGACUUUAUUGCCACCCAGACAUUAUAACUUAAUGCAAAUUGUAACUAGUUAAGCACAGCAAAAUAAUAUGAUACCAUUGUCUGCAGCAGAUUGAUAUUAUAAUGUUAGCAUGUGCAAAUAAUCACAUUUUCUCCCUGAUACAAUUACAUUAUUUGUUAUGGUUGUAUCAUACACCAAUAAAAGCAAACAUCAUAUUAGGAUUCAUGGCACUUUUCGCAUUGCAUUAUCAAUAUGUGGAAAUAAUUGUCUGCUGAGAGAUUAAAUUACAUUAUUGUGUAUCUUUUUCAUGCCUAAUAAAUAAUGAUGGAUGGCUCUUAUUUUCAUCACCACC